GCCCCGUUAGCUCAGUGGAUGCAGAGCACCGGCCUACGAAACCGGGGGUCGGAGGUUCGAAUCCUUCACGAGGCGCCA
rnacentral:tRNA from 1 species